rnacentral:rRNA from 1 species
UACAGAGGGUGCGAGCGUUGUUCGGAAUUAUUGGGCGUAAAGCGCUGGUAGGUGGCUUGUUAAGUCGCGUGUGAAAGCUCCAGGCUCAACCUGGAAAGUGCGCGCGAAACUGGCGAGCUUGAGUACCGGAGAGGGUCGCGGAAUUCCCGGUGUAGAGGUGAAAUUCGUAGAUAUCGGGAGGAACACCAGAGGCGAAGGCGGCGACCUGGAAGGUAACUGACACUGAGCAGCGAAAGCGUGGGGAGCAAACAGG